UUGAUAUUUAUAUAGUAUAUAACUAUUGGUACUAAAUUUCUUUAUGAUUUAAAAUAAAAAAAGUAUUUCAGAAGAAUAUAUUAUUUUUUUUUAAAUUAAAAAAUAGAAUUUAGAAAAAAAUCUGGCGAAGCCUGUGCCAGCCGCCGCGGUUAUACAGGCAGGUAUAAUAGUUUUUUUAAAAAAGAUAAUUUUUUUUUAUUAAAAAAAAGUUUUUUUAGGUGGAAUUUUUAAACUUGUUUUUUUAUUUGUAUCUUAAAAAUUUAAUUAUAUAGACUAGGAUUAGAUACCCUAUUAUUUUUAAAAGUAAGAUUGAUAGUAAGUAUAAUGUAUGAAAUCAAAAGAUUUUGGCGGUACUUUAAGCUUGUUAGAGGAAUUUGCUCUUUAAUUGAUAAAACACCAAAAUCUUACUUGAAUUGGUUAAGACAGUUUGUAUAUUGCUAUCAUAAAAUUAUAUUGAAUGAUAAUAAUUAAAAUAGGGUUUUCCUAAAAUGUUAGGUCAAAAUGCAGUUUAUAUUUAAGUUUGAAGUGAAUUACGAUAAUUAAUAUUAGAUAUUUAUGAAAAAUUAAAUAGGAUUUAAAAGUAAAUUUUAAAUUAUAAUGUUUAAUUGAAGAAAGCUCUAAGGUAUGUACAUAUCGCCCGUCACUCUCAUUUUUUGAGAUAAGUCGUAACAAAGUAAGUGUACCGGAAGGUGUACU
rnacentral:ncRNA from 1 species